rnacentral:tRNA from 1 species
GGAGGAGUGGCCGAGCGGUUUAAGGCACCGGUCUUGAAAACCGGCGUGCGCGAAAGCGUACCGUGGGUUCGAAUCCCACCUCCUCCGCCA